CUCUUUAUCUGCUUUAAUGUUAAAAAUAUUUUUCAGUUUGUCAUGUAUCUUUACAAUUUAGAGUGGAAUUUUCCCUGUGUAUACAUUUUUUGUGUAGCUACCAAACAGUGUUCUCCAAGAUUCUGUGUUAGACCUUUUUAUCACUCUACAUACCUCCCUCAGUGAUCUCAUCUAAUCCCAUAGUUUAAACUACCAUCUAUAAUAGGUCAACUAGUAAAUCUAUAGACAACAAGCAAACCAGACCUUUCCUCUACAUUCCAGACUUCUAAAUCAAAAAUCCAAUCCUAAUAUCCAAUUAGCUUUAUUUUUUUUUUAAAGAUUUUAUUUUUUCCCUUUUUCUCCCCAAAGCCCCCCAGUACAUAGUUGCAUAUUCUUUGUUGUGGGUCGUUCUAGUUGUGGCAUGUGGGAUGCCGCCUCAGCGUGUCCUGACGAGCAGUGCCAUGUCCACACCCAGGAUUCGAAGCAACAAAACACUGGGCCGCCUGCAGCAGAGCACACGAACUUAACCACUCAGCCACGGGGCCAGCCCCUCCAAUUAGCUUUAAAGUGAGGAUGGGAGGAUGUACUUAGCCCAUAGGCAUCUCAAAAUCAACAUUGCACAUAUCAAAAUUCAUCAAACUUGUUCUGUUUUCCCUAUCUCAGAAAAUGGUACCAACAGCCACUCAGUUGCCCACACCAGAAACCUAGGAGUCAUGCUACAUACCUCCUUCUCUCUCCUCUCCAUAUACAAAGGCUCCUAACCUCUUUAGUUUUACCUUUCAACUUUCUCCAUCCUUACUUACUCUGCUCUAGCCAUGUGGGAAUUGAAUUUACUGGUCCCUCCUGCUCAGGACAUUAACAUAUGCUCUUCCUUUGCCUAGAAUGUUCUUCCUUUCUUUUUGGCCUAGCUAAUUCCUAAACCUCAGCUUAACUGUCACACCUUAGGAAGGCUUUACGUAAAUCCCUACUGUUAGGUCCCCAUGGUGUAUGCUUUCAUGGCAUCCUUUAUUUUUCUGUUAUAGUAAUUAUCAUAGUUGUAACUUGUAGAUUAAUAAUUUAAUCUUUGUUUCUCUCACUAACUACACUCUAAAGGGAGGAACAGUGGCUGUUCGUUCACCCCUAUAUGCUCAGUACCUUGCACAUGACACAGAGUAGGUGCUAAAUAGUUACCAGGGAAUACUUACAUAUUAAUACAGAAUAAAUAAAUCCAAUCUCUGUUAUACUUCAUUUCACCCCAUUUCUACGUCUUUAGUUCAAGUACUCUCUAUUUCUUGCCUGGAUACUACAAUAGCCUCUGAAGGACGCUCUACCACCGCUCUUGCAUUUUCUAAUCUGUUCUCCAGUACCCUUGUUAAAGUGAAGUUCUAAAAUAUAAAUCUGAUCAUAUUACUCAUUAGGUUAAGAUUUUUCAAUUGCAUCAAUUUAAAGGUGACAUGACAAUAUAAACCCUUUAUGGUUGAACCUCUAUCCACUGGAUCAGGUCAACCUUUCUCAACUCUUCUAAAGGCACCUAGGCAACAAACCACAGAAAGUACCUGAAUUUUCUUGAACAUGCCAGGUUGUUUCUGACUUCUCUGUUUUCUUACACUCCAGUACGUCUGCCUAAAAUGUUUUCUAUGGCCUAUUUCUACUGUCUCUUACACUGGGAUAACUCCAGUCCUUUAAGGCUCCACCAAGAUAUCCUUCAAGACAGCUCCACCAAAGUAUUCUUCAAGACACAACUCAAGAGUCACCUCCUCCUGAAAAGCUUUCCUGAAAACCUAUUCCUAACCAGGGUUAAAUAUUCUUCCUCUAUAUUUAUCAAAUUAUAAUUUUUAAAGAAUUUAUCUUUCUUCCAUUAGACUUUCAGCUCCUUGCUAACAGGGACUACAUGUUUUUCAUCUCUGUAUAUCAAAUUCUGGUAUGGACUUUGGUAAAUGUUUGAUUAAAUCUGUGUACCAGUACACAUCAAAUCCAUCAAAACAUACCUACCUUUUGGGAACUGGUAUUCCCACUUCUGGGAAAUCUUCCAAUAAAUAAGCAAAUAAAGUCAAUUAGGAAAGGUAUAUGCAUAAAAAUGUUCACUUCCCAAUUAUUUAUAAUAGCAACAAAUUGGAAACAACCUAAAUGUCCAGCAGAAGAAUGAUAGAAUCUGUUAAAUGAUAUGUAGCAGAGUAAUUUAGAAUAAAGAUUGUAAAAAUGAUAUAGUAACUCAGAUGCUUAUGACAUGUUAAUUGGAAAAAGACAAAACUGUUUCACACUAUGAACCUAUAAAAUUGUAUGUACCGACAUUGACUAGAAGGGAACAUGAAAACUGUAUGAGUUCUUUGUGUGGAUUAUGAUUUCAUUGCCUUUAUUCAGAACUUUAUAAAUGUUGCUAUGAUAUCUUCUCAAUUAUGAAAAUAAUUUAAAAUUUAAACCCAUGUAAUUAAUAUCUAUGUAUAUAUUUGUGUAUGCAUAUUUCUACAUAUGUAUAUAUGUAUAUGUUUCCUAGCUCUGUCUCCUGAAAGGCCCAAGAAACAGAAACACCUCAGUAGCAAUGAGCAUAUCUCGCCUUAGUAUCUAAUACCAUUCUCCACCAACAGGAAAUGGGGGUCCUUAGAGAAGAGGCUAAUGCCAGGGCUGGAGCAGGGUAAGGACAAGAUAAACGUGGAACCUCUUAUUAGACCAGAAAGUAAGGAAGUAUUAAAAAAAAAUGAUGUAGGCAUAUCACAAAGACAUGGGAUCCACACUAAAGGUGCUCCCACUCGCUGAAUCUGGGACACCAAAAUAAUUAAAUACAGACUUAAAUAUUUAGAGGUAAAAGGUCAUGGUGUAUAUAACUUACCUUCAAGUGGUUCAGAAAAAAAAGUGUACAAAAUAUACACAUAUAGAUAGAAAGAACACAUGACAACAAAGCUAAUACAGAAAUGGAAAAACACAGGAAUUCAUAAGUUAAUGCAGAUAAUAAAUAGAUAAAUAGGGGAGAAGAGAGCUCUUAUGUUUGCAGUAGGAUGCUGUGGGCUGACUAUGCCUCCUAUGGAGAGGGUACUAGCUUUGUUGAAUCGUUGUGCAGCCAUCAUAGUAAAAUUCUAUCAGCCAUAAUGGAUGCUAAAUUUAAACUGGAAUUUAAAUAAUUUAAAAUCGAAUGAAGCUCAAGAUAUAUCUUCAAAUUUCCCCACAAAUUGCUUAUUAAUUGCCAGGAAGAAAAAACCCAGUAACUAUACAGUGGAAAAUUCAGGCCACAUUUGGACCAGGUGAUCAAAAUUAACAUCAUCCGUGAGAGACAGAUGGGUAUCAUAUGCUUCCAGAAGUGAUACCCAGAGAAGGACACAAUAUCACCUGUGCAGUAGUCCAGUUGAGAAUGCAUAAUGUCAGUUUAAUCAUGAGGAAACAUCACACAAAAACAAAACAAGGAACAUUCUAUUAAAAAGGAGAGUUGGGGGAGAAGCUGUAUUCUUAAAAAAUGUUAAGGUCAGAAAAGAUAAAGAAAGGUUGUGGAAAUGUUCCAAAGUAAAGGAAGCCUAAGAGUCAUAACAACUAAAUGUAGUACCUGACCCCAGACUGGCUCCUGUACUGGAGGGGAAAAUGCUAGAAGGAUCAACCUACAAAAUUGGAAUAUGGAUGGUAGACUGAAGUAUUAUUUUUAUGUAAAUUUACGAAGUUGAUAGGAAAUACACUCUCAAGUAUUUAGGGGUGAAGGGCCAGGAUGUAUGUAACUCAACUUCAAAUGCUUCAGAAAAAAAAUGUAUAUAAAUUUACAUAAAUGUGGAGAGAGACCUUGCUCAAGAACAAGCAAACGAUAUGGCUGUUCUUUGAAUUAUUUUUAUUUUUGCAACUUUUUGUAAAUUUGAAAUUAUUUCCAAGUAAAAGGUUUUUUAAAAUUAAGUCCACCUCACAGAAACAAGACCAAGAAGAAAAUGAAAGAUACUUUAAAACCCAUCUAAGCAAAUUGUUUUUAAAACAUUCACCAGUGUAUUCUAAGUUUUCAAGUUACUGUUCAAAAUGUUUUCUUCUUUAAGAGUCUUCAUUCUUUCUUAAAAGAUGAACAGACUAUAGCUUUCACAGUUUUAUCUAAAUAAGUUAAUAUGUUGAAGCCAACAUUCCAUCAGUUGUAGCUUACUCAUUAGAAACAGCAGGAGGGAAAAAAAGCAUUGAAAUUACAAGACCUCUGUUCUCCACACUACCCAUAUUUACCAUUCGUUUGCUGGUGAUUGCAUUCCAGUCUCCAAGUGAAACCUCAGAUUUUAAAUUAUGACUUCAGUUCUGCCCUAAUGACAAGUAAAGAAGAGUAUGCAGAGACACAAACUGGGUGUGUGGACAGGGCUGGGAAGAGGAAUGAUUAACUCUUCACUGUACUGAAAAUGAAAGAAAGCAAGCUGCAAAACUUCUGCCCUAAUUGAGCACAAUACCUAAAUAAUUGAGUUCUUUCUUCUCGUACAGUACAUGGUCACAUGGAAUAUAAAGUUGGGGGGAGGUAUUCUUACCAGUUUUUAACCUGUGAAUUUGAUGAUCUGAAGUAAAAGUGCUCUUUUUCUUUUUUUUUUUUCUUUAAAAUUCAACUCAGUAUUGUGCACCCCCUUGUGGUCAAACAUAAAAUUCUUCAUUUUCAAAACACCAUUUUUCCAGUCGGGCUUUUUGUUAAGGCAUAGGAACCGUGUUAGUUGAUUUCGUGUUCUCCCAUUUUAGUGAAUCAAGAAGCUUUAACGAAGGGGUUUUUGUUUAUUAAAUAGGAUUUUAAACAAAACAGGACUUAAAUCUUCUAAAAGUGACCUCCAUAUAAACUUUAGUCUGUGCAAAAUAGAAAAUAAUUGCACCCACCUCGUGAGUUAUUAUGAGGAUUCAAGGGGAAAAUGCAUAUACAUGCUUAGCUGACACAUAGUAGGUACUCAAUAAAUGUUAUUAUUUGUCAACAACAUCAUCAUCACUUUAGAAUUCUCUUGACAGAAUACAUCUAAAAGGAGGUUAGAUCAAAAAUUCACCCAUUCAUGAAGUUCUAGUACAAUCUUGCAAAUAAGUUCCCCAAAUAUACCACUUAUCCAGAAUUCCCCUAUCCAAUUCUCCCCAUAGGUAUAUUUUUUAAGUACAAAGAAUAGGUGUUUAUCUCUGGAUGGCAGAAAUUUAGAUGGUUUUUACUUUAUCUAUUUUUGAUGGGCCUGAUUUUCUCCCUUAUUUUCCUUUAACUUUACCAAUCGGAAAAGGCAAUAAAACUAUUCCAUUUCCAUAUGUUACUCUUAUGAAAUAGUAAAACAAAUUAACAUCCUUAUUCAUCUGACAGAAAUUGUUACUCAUAUCUGGCAAAAAUAAUUUGUCAGGCUGACUUAUUUUAAGAAGCUCUUGAACACAAAUGCUAACUCCUAAUGGCACUAACUGUAGUUUGAUUUUUAAAACACUUCUCAAGAAGCCAUUUUAAAAGAUCAGUGUUAAUGACUGACUCAUAACAAUAGCUAACAUUUACUAACAUACCAACCGCUGUUCAAAUGUCUUUAAUAUAUUAGCUCAUUUACAUUCUUACAACAACCCAAUGAGGUAACUAGCAUUACUCCUUUUACAAAAGAUCAAAAUGAGAAAAAGUAACUCAUGUAGGGUCACAAAGCUAGUAAGUAGCAGAGCUGAGAUCCAAACCCAAGCAUUUUGGGUCCAGAGGCCACUCACUUACCCAGUGCACAAAAGUGUCAUAGAGAUGUAAACCAAGCAUACUACUCUGCUGUGUUAAUUCAUGAUGAUCUCAAAUUACGAAAAUCCAUUUCUUUUCCAAUUGUACCUCAAUAAUGCAAAUCACACUAGCCUUCUCCCAUUUCCUUACUUAGUACUUCAGGCACUUCCUAUAUGCAUUGUCUUAUUUAACCCUCUCAAUGAUAUACAUCUUUGUAUAUUCAAACAGUUAUGGUUCAUCACAAGUUGUUUUGCAGCAAAAACUGGAAAAAACAUAGCAACACCCCAGAUUUUAAACUGCUGUAUUAUUUAGAAAAUUCGUUACAACUUGGGAUCAGAAAAAAAGUAACCAGUCAAAAAUAAUCUUAAAAUGGAAUCAUUUAGGAUCUAUGGCAGUUUUGGUUUCUUUUAAAAUUUUCAUCUUAACUAGCUUGGUGGCAAGUAGGAUAAAUCUCCCAAGUAAAUAAAUGGUUAAAAGAGGUUUUUAAGGAAGGUGUUAAAAUAGUGACAACUUAUCAUCAUUUAUUGUCCUAUCAUAGCACCCAGUUUUUGAAGGUGGACACAGAUUUGUCUAGGUCUUGUGCUUCUACUUACUAAUUCUAAGACUGUGGGGCAAGUUUCUUAAUCUGAGUCUCGGGUGGCCUCAUGUGUAAAAUGAGGAUAAAACUUACUUCAUAGGGCUGUUGUGAGUAAUAACCACGAUCAAUCUGUAAAGCGUUUAUUUAGCACAGUGCCCAGGCCAGAGUACGGUCAGUACGUGGUCUCUAGCUACUACUUUAUCAAUGCAUGUCACAGCAGAAACCUGUCUUUGCUAGAUUCAGCUCCCUUACCACCCAUUUUUUUAAAAAAUCACCCUAAGUAACAUCCAAAGACUGUCCAUUCACCCAUUCACCUCUCCAAAACUGAGCAGAAUGCUUAAGAACCAAUAACAAGUAAGAUAGUGAGAGAAACUGGAUUCGAUGGAAGCGCCUUCGCAACAGGCAGCCUAGAACCGGGAAGAAGGGCUCCACACUCUUUAAGUAAUCCUUAACUCCAGGCUGCGCGCACGCACACACACACACACACACACACGGUUGUUGAGCAGGGGAAACCACGCCUCCUGUGUGUGCUCAGGUUGGAUCCCACAGCAAGGUAGAGAAAGGCCUGCGCUCAGAAUCUGACAGAUGCGGACUUAACCACGUGCUUGCUAUCUGUGCUACCUUAGGCAAAUUACUUAAAGUCUCUGAACCUUGGUUUCCUGGUCUGCAAACCGAGAAUAAUAAUAGUACCUACCUCAUCAAGUUGUUCUGAGGCUUAAGUGCGAUAGCUCCUGUAAAGCGUUGACGUACAGCAAGAGCUCUGCACACAGGCGGGGCUGUUUUAAGUACACGUGUAUCCACACUCAUAGUCUCAGAGACACAUUCCGUCGUUAGGAGUUUAGACACUGGCAAUAAGACGAUUUUCUUUUCGCCUAAGCUGCACCCUUAUUUGUUUCCCUCGAACAGUAAAUGCAUGCCUAUCGACUGAUAUGUCAUCUGUGGACCCUAGGGCCCGCAGUCCUCGUGGUCCCUCCACCUCCGCGGCUGAGCAAAGGAGCUGAACGCACGCGCAAGAAAAGAAACAGGACUGCGACGGAGGAAGCGAAGGGAGAGCGGCGAACAGCGAUGAUUCUGCGCAUGUUCAAGGCGCGGGGGUUGGGGUAGGAGUUUGCGCAUGAGCAGAAGCGUCGGGAAAGGAAGAGAAGGGGGGUUAGGAGGCGGUAUUGACAGCUGUGGAGGCAGCCCGCGUUCCCGGCAUGCCCUGGGGCGGCGGGGUUGGCUCUAACGAAUUUGAAUGAGGAGCCUCAGCGCUUUCGGCGCCAUUUUCGAGUGAUGCCUGAUCUCAUCAAUCUAGCGGGAGAGACGGGAUAACCUGUCCGAGAGUAUAGCGCCGCUAGGACUCCGCCGAAAAAUCACUAAAAAAAUCGCCAAAAAUUACUUGAAGCAAAGGGCAGUCCGCAGAGCUUCGCCAGGGUUGGCGCAGUCGUUUCCACCAAUUCUUACUCGACAACUCUUCGAUGAUUUGAGCCAGUGACGGCUUUAACUCGAAGUAAUAUUUUAUAGAUAAUGGCCUCUGUAAAACUUCCUUAUUAAAGAAUAUGUUGGAUCUUGAAUCCCUUUCUGCG
rnacentral:lncRNA from 1 species